rnacentral:rRNA from 1 species
AUUGAACGCUGGCGGCAGGCCUAACACAUGCAAGUCGAGCGGCAGCGACUUAACUGAACCUUCGGGGAACGUUAAGGGCGGCGAGCGGCGGACGGGUGAGUGAUGCCUGGGAAUAUGCCCUGAUGUGGGGGAUAACUAUUGGAAACGAUAGCUAAUACCGCAUAAUCUCUUCAGAGCAAAGAGGGGGACCUUCGGGCCUCUCGCGUCAGGAUUAGCCCAGGUGGGAUUAGCUUGUUGGUGAGGUAAUGGCUCACCAAGGCAACGAUCCCUAGCUGGUCUGAGAGGAUGAUCAGCCACACUGGAACUGAGACACGGUCCAGACUCCUACGGGAGGCAGCAGUGGGGAAUAUUGCACAAUGGGGGAAACCCUGAUGCAGCCAUGCCGCGUGUGUGAAGAAGGCCUUCGGGUUGUAAAGCACUUUCAGUAGGGAGGAAGGUAGUGUAGUUAACACCUGCAUUAUUUGACGUUACCUACAGAAGAAGCACCGGCUAACUCCGUGCCAGCAGCCGCGGUAAUACGGAGGGUGCGAGAGUUAAUCGGAAUUACUGGGCGUAAAGCGCAUGCAGGCGGCCUGUUAAGUCAGAUGUGAAAGCCCGGGGCUUAACCUCGGAAUUGCAUUUGAAACUGGCAGGCUAGAGUCUUGUAGAGGGGGGUAGAAUUUCAGGUGUAGCGGUGAAAUGCGUAGAGAUCUGAAGGAAUACCAGUGGCGAAGGCGGCCCCCUGGACAAAGACUGACGCUCAGAUGCGAAAGCGUGGGGAGCAAACAGG